rnacentral:rRNA from 1 species
UACGUAGGCAGCAAGCGUUGUUCGGAAUUACUGGGCGUAAAGAGUGUGUAGGCGGUGCUCUAAGUCUGUUGUGAAAUCUCCCGGCUUAACUGGGAGGGUGCAGCGGAAACUAGAGUGCUAGAGGGUGGGAGAGGUAAGCGGAAUUCCUGGUGUAGCGGUGAAAUGCGUAGAUAUCAGGAGGAACACCUGUGGUGUAGACAGCUUACUGGACCACUUCUGACGCUGAGACACGAAAGCGUGGGUAGCAAACAGG